ACAACUUUGCAAAGACAGGGUUACAAUAAAAUUUAACUAUUUUCACAUCUUAAAUGCAUUUAUAUCACAGGGUAUCAUAAUAUAUAGUAAGUUAACGAUGAACGCAGCAUAGGACUUUUUCAUACAAUUGGCGGAAAUAGAAAAAGAGUGACGUUGAUACUCCUGUUGAUUCGAUUUACAGUAUGUUGACUACUUCAUAAAAGAGUAUACAAACACAAUAACGACUAUUCCUAGAAUGAAGAGACUGAUACAUCCGUGACUAUCAUUUUUCUGUGUUUGAGCGUUCCCGAUGAUAGUAAGUCCUGAAAAGUGCGUCGGACGCACGAUAUUUAGAAAGUGUACUUUUCAUUUCAUGAAUCACAAAAAGAGGCAAUAGUAAAUUAUCGAUGUUCAAAACCGGCAAAUCCCUUUCUAAUACAUAUGCAAAGGUAAAAAAUACGCAAACACUGAAGGAAUAAAUUGCAAGCGGAACGAGAAGGGUGCAUCGAAAGUUAAAGCAUCUGAGUCAUUACUACCUUUCUUUGUCAUAUGUGUUGUAGACGACAGUCAUGAUCUCCCAUUCAGUUAUUGGAUGCCAAGUAUUAAGAAGGCUACUUAAAACAACUGUUUAUCACUGGAUCUGUCAAAUGUUCAAAUUAGUAUUUUUCAAACUUUUUUACGUUCGUUACAUGUUAGUAGCUAAAUAAGGCUUAUGAAAAACUAAGCCAAAGUAUUUUUUCCAGUCGUGUGAAUCAUAUGGGAUAAUUAGAACCCAAAGGAUUUAUCUGAGACUUUAAAUCGCACGUUCGCCUUUUAUCUAAUUCAAAGUUCAUAGUAUAUUUUAAUUUACUUCAUAGGAAAUAUAAAAAUGGUCUCAAAACUUUGAGUAAUCACUAUUGAGUAUAAGGUAUGCGUUUUUUAAUUUAGACAGACAUGAUUGAUUUGCUUUGUCAGAUAAACAAUAUCAGAUAUAAUUGAUAAGCCUGGGGUAUCUUUGAUGAGUUCUUGCACUGUCUCGCUCCUUUUGGAGUUCAUGCGAUUCCCUCAGUUUCUGUAUUGUUACCUUGAUUUGUCUCUUUCUAAUCGAUUUACGAGACUUGAUCAUUGGUAAACUACUGUCGCCUUAAUUUACCAGAAGCGAUAUUAUUUGAAUGUAGAAAUGAAUAAAGUUGCGUUGAAUUCGAUGUAAAGUUUUUAAACUAACUAUUGGUAUUUCGAUGAAGCACUACUCCUUAUGAAUUUGUUUAUUUAUCAGAAACACAUAUGUGAGCGCUUAAUUCGUUUACAUAUAUAUAUCUAUAUUACUCGUAUUAAACAGAAUGCAUAAAAGAGGCUCACGAGAGCCGGAAUUUCUCACCUGGUAAAUAAUGCUAUUUUGAUAUUUAUUUAUUUUCUUUUAUUGUAAUUAGUUUAAAGGCAAUACAUUCUAUAGUGUGACAAUUUGGCCAUGUUAACUUACUCGCAGAUCUCAUUUUGCUGAACUUGGUGGUUUUUACAAUUUCUCUCUACAUCUAGUAGUUUUUGACAUAAAUGCCCCCAAAAAUGGGUAAAAAUCAUCAUUCAGGGAAAUAACUUCUAUAAGGAGUUUGUUGAAAGAUUCGACUAUGAUGAGUGAUUUGCAGACCUUAUUGUGCUGAACAUUUAGCUUGUUUACUCACUAUCUUAUAUAGUUUGUGCAAAAAACCAGCACAAAGAGAAAAAAAAUUAUCUUGCAAGGGCAAUAACUCCUAUAAGUGGUUAAUUGACGAUUCGUUUAUGUUGACUUAUUUGUAAAUCUUUUUUUGCUGAACACUUUUUUGCGUUUCAAUUUUUCUCUCCGUCUAUUAUAGUUUCUGCAAAAGAUGAGUAAUAUUAAUCUUCUUAGGGCAAUAACUCCUAUAAGGGGUGAAUUCAAAAUUCAUGUUAACUCAUUUGUAGAUCUUAAUGUUCUUGUCAUUUUUACUGUUUGAAAUUUCUCUAUAUCUAUUAUAGUUUUCAAGAAAAUAACCAAAAACUGUGAAAUUUAUAAUGAAACGUGGACCUGCACUGAGAUAGCUGUGUCAGUGGAGUAAUUGUUUAAAACAGGGUAUGCAAUGUUGUUGUUGAAUAAAAGUUGGCCAACUUAUAAUUUUACAUAGCCAGUGAUGAAUCAAAUCUAUUAAAAAAAUUGAACCAUUUGAAACUAUGUCGCUUCUCAUCGGUGAGGCACGUGAUUUUCCAUAGUAAACAAACUUAACAUGUAGACAACAAAAUUCAGAAAUGACAUCCGUUGAUUGUAUGUCACUUUGGCAGUAUUUUCUAGGACGGUCAUUUUGCUCUAUCAAGACAUUUGCCUUAAUAUUCUAACUCUAUUUGUAAUAUAUUAGAUUUUCUUUUAAUCUAUAAUGUAUAGGAUUUCUAGAUAAAUUUCCAAUAGACAGUAGGUAUUCCUGUUACGAAUUAAUUGUGUGCCAUUCCUUCAAGAAUUUGUUUGUAUUCGUUUAAAAUAAAGUUCAUCAAAGGGCUCAUUCUUUAGUUCCCGCUGUAGAGAUGAUUACCCGCCCUUUUUCAAUCCAAAGUAGAGGCAUCGGUGGCUUAGUGGUCUAAAUAGUCGAACUACUGUAUUACAAGCCUGUCAACACUGAGGUUGUGAGUUUAAAUCCCGCACUUGGCAGGUACAUUCGACUCCAAUAUCAAUUGACUAGGAUUGUCAGUUUUCCUACCGAAGGUCGGUGGUUCUCUACCGGCACUCCGGCUUCCUCCACCAAUAGAAACUGACAGCCACGAAAUAGCACAAUAGUGAUGUAAGUGGCGUUAAACACCAAUUAAUCAAUCCCAAAUGAGCUAAAGAUUAUAAGGACAGCAUCAACAUAAAAAAGUGUAUUUCCUGGAAUGUCUUACACCAGAGGGUUCUUUAAACGCAAAGAUUUCGAAAUUAUACACUUUUGUAAAAUCAUUUCAAAUAAAGAAAUAUAUCUCCCCCAUGCUAAGCUCUGGUUCCUUGUCUUGAUUUGGCUAUACCUUAGGCCCAUUUUUUGUCUUAUCAGCUAUUUGUUUUACAGUACUUUAAAUGAUAUUUAUAUUACUUUUCAAGAGGUUGUGUCAUGAGUAGUGACUUCUUAAUACGAAAUGAUUAAACACAAAACAACCAAUCGUGUAAGGUUGCCGCAGAAUAGAAUGCAAUUCAUGUUGGCAUCGUGGGAUGAAAAAGCUACUAUAGGUUGUGUCUUUCUGAUGGUUGAUUUUUUUUCUAGAAACGUAAUUUUGUCUUUACCAGAUAACUCGUGACUAGAAAAUACAACAGGUGCCACUGCCGAUCCAAAUAUGCUCGCCCUUACUGAACAUCCGAUAUUACUUAACCAUGCUUUGUCCUGAAAAACAGUGAUUCCACCGCAGUCAAGUUUUUGGGUUAGAGAAUGGUUACCUAAUCAAUGGUCUAUGAUUUAUAAACUGUGAAAUCGAUGCUUAAUCACUGGAUAUGACUUAUCAAUGUAUUUAAACACGAGUAAAACAAUGAGUGUCACUAUGAGGAACUUUUCAUCAACCCCUUCUGAGUUAUAUCCCUGUUUUGUCGUGGGGUUUGUGGCCCCAGUCUUCAGUUUUCAGUGAAGUGGUAAAGGAUCUUUUGUUUGUCUUUUCGUCGUUUGUUUUCCCAUAAUGUCGUCUGUUUUUAUCGACUUUUUAAUUGCCCGUCUUCGUCAAAAAUUGAAUUGCUUGCAUUGGGUCGAGUCUGAUCUUUUAUUCUUGUUUAUUUCUUUACAUUAAUCAUCUUUGUCUUAAACUGAAAUUGCAUUGGGCCGAGUUUUAAUCUUUUAUUCUUAAUGUGACUUUUGCUGCGAAUUCAGAAUUUAACAUACAAGGAAAAGCGUAAAAGUAUUCAGUUUGAAUGAAAAUGAUUUGCAUCGAUAUCAAAAGAUUAGCAUUCUCUCCGACUUCUUUGGUUAGUUUUACCAUAGAAGUAUUAUAUUGACAGGAACUACUACGACCCGACUUCAAACGUUUUAUCUGCGAUGCCGCGCGCAAUUUAAUUAAUAACAUGUCAAUUAACUUGAAACAUGGCACGUUAAUUUAUUUACACAUCAGCGUGUGGCACCCUACAAAAUUAAUAUUCUCAUUAUCGGUUGCUUUCGCGAUUAAGGAAAUAAACGAAGAAAUCGAAAGUUGUCAUUAAUUCCAAGGAAACAGCAAUCGGCAAACCUCGGCAGAUUCCGUUACCCUACAUCUGCCUACGUGUGCUGAUUGAUUUGUGCGAGACAUUAUCAAAAAUGCUUGAAAAAACACAUUGACGAUGGAAAUUUGUACCAUAUUAAUUGAAUAAAUACACCAUGUUUAUUGACUUAUUUUUCUGUAGAAAUUGCAUAAUGUAUAUAUAGCAAGUUAUGAUUAACUACUGUUUAACGUCCAGUGGCAUACAUUUCAUGCAUAUUUAAGACAAUUGUAAAAUGAUUGUUCUGAUUAAAAUAAAAAAAAUCAUAAGAGAUUUUAAAUAUGUUAGAAUUAUAAGGCUUCGCUUUAAAUCCAGGGUAAGAUCAUUGGUUGGUAUAAGAAUGUUUCCGCUGAGUCCCGAUGUGUUGAAUUAUGGUGAUAUUACUAGUAUCAUUUGGACAGAAAGUGAUAAAAUGUUUAAUGGGAUAUAGAUAGUUUAGCCAUUCCAUAACAUUGUGUAUGUCUUCGUUUUUUUCUCAAAUUGAUAAAUACGGGUCAAAUCAUAAGUCAUGAUUAGCAUAUUCAUAAAUGUACAAAUAGAAGUACUGACCCCGGCUGUAUAUUAUCGGACAAAAUUCUUUCAUAUACGAAUAUUUUAGCAGUUUUGAAUCAAAUGCCAAAAAAUUAAAACGCACAUAUAUAUAAAUAACGAGGUGCUUCUUUUUUUUACUAUAUUUGUUAUAUAUAAUUUCUAUGUUAUUCAGUCCUUGGUCGAUUGAUUUUCGUAUAUAAAACUGAAAAUUUCUACUUUCCUGACUAAUCCAGGCUCUUUACUAUAUAUAUAUUACUCGAUUCGUCACAGUGUUUAUUUAUAUCAGGAACAUUUUCGUCAAUUUAUGAAAGCGGCAUCGCAGAUAUAUCGUCACAAAAGGAAAUUAACGGUAGCGUACUAAUUAUACAGUUUCCAUAUCUUUUCUACAGCGCUCCCCGGGUUAUAAAUAAGUGCUAGUAAAUCGUUGUAGUUCCUGUAAAUAUAAUACUUCCAUGGUUUUACAUAAAACAUUAUUUGUUAUACUCGAAGGAAAGAAAUAUAGAUUCACAUACAAAUGAAAUUUGAAAUACGUUAUGACUUGUCUCGUUUGAAAUACGUCUAUGUAAACAUAGAACAAUUCAUAUUACAUGUUUGGAUUUUUUUUAAACCAGGUGUUGGAGAAAAACCUAGAAAUGUCUGAAUUAUAUUUGUUUAUUUAGUGAUUGUUUUGUCUUACUUUUUUUCUCUCCUGAUGUAAACAUAUUGGUAAUUAUUGAUGAUUUGAUUGGAGUUGAAAUAUAUAGCAAACUUCCUGACGUAAAAAAAUGGUUUCAUAACAAAAUUCCAAACAAAUAAACAAUUCACCAUAUGACUAUUUUCCUUCUAAUGGUAUCAAGUUGAUUAAAAUCCAACCAGAAAUAACCCAACAAUAAUGUUAUGAAGGAAAGUGGUUUUAUAUGAAAUGUAUCGCGAAAAAUCGCAAGUGACGAAAAUUUAUUUCCAUCUUCUGUAGAUGCCAAAAAAUUGGAGAAUGCGUAUCUAAUCAACACACUAUGAUAUUAUCGGUGUUCAUUUGCAAGAUAAUCGUUUUUUAUUUUAUUGUUUGAUUGACUGAUAUAAAAAACCAAAUUGCAUACGUCGAGCGAUCGCAAAAUGGCUAUAUCGCGACGACAGGUAAUACUUAGAAUUUAUAAUAACACACAAAGUCCACAAUGUUAAAACUAUUAUUCAUGACCAAUAUUACUUAUACAUACGUAUCUUUGGUGAGUUUUUAUAUACAAAUAAGACUAAAUACUAAAAUUAAAUGCUAAACAUAAAAGCAUACUAUAUCAAAUCAUAUAAAACAAAACAGAUAUUAGACAUUUGAAUUGUUUAUAUACAGAUAUUUUGUCAUACGAUUUUUUCUUUAGUAAUUUGUCAUAUAAUUAUAACAACUAUACUGCACUUAAUGCUAUCACUAGUCUAAAAGACUAAGGAAGGAGAUUUUCGUACAAAAAAAACUCAGAUUAGAACGAGAUGAAAGAUCUUAAAGAACAAACUAUUAUCAGUCAAAUAAAAGGAAAUAACAAUUUAGGAAAAAAUGGACAAACACUAUUUUGUUGGUAUAACAUAAUGAUAAUAAUAAUGAUGAUAUUAAUAAUAAUACAGCGAAGGCAAAGAUAUAUAAAUGAACACAGAUUGGCAAGAAUACGAUAUUGUCUCAUGGUUGUCAUUGGUAUUGUGUUUAUAAUGCUUUCAAUAUCGUAAUAAUGCUAAAUAUAGCCAGACCUUUGGAUACCGUCUAUUACUGUCAACGUAUGAUUAUUCAUCAUAACGCUCAUUGACAAAAACCAAGACUCGAUAUAUCAUUGUUAUCAUUACCAGGUAGGAAGUUUUUAUCAAAGUCAUGGACCUGAUCCAUCAGGUUACUAAGACUGAGAUCCUCACUUCGAUUCUCUGUUGGAGGAACAAAUUCAAUGUCAUUACGGGUCACUGUCCAAGCCGAUUCUACAGAUGUUUCAUCAUACUUUGAAGAUGUGUUUCUAUCAUUUAUGGUUAAGAAAUUAUUUGGAUUUGGAUUUAUCGUGUGCACAGGUAGUUCAGGUUGAUAUUUUGGUUGAUCUAAUAAAA